GGGGCCAUGGCUCAGAAGAAAAACAUUUGCCUUGCAUGCAGAAGGUCCCAAGUUCAAUCCCUGACAUCUCCA